UACGGGGGGGGUAAGCGUUGUUCGGAAUUACUGGGCGUAAAGGGCUCGUAGGCGGCCAACUAAGUCAGACGUGAAAUCCCUCAGCUUAACUGGGGAACUGCGUCUGAUACUGGAUGGCUUGGAUCCGGGAGAGGGAUGCGGAAUUCCAGGUGUAGCGGUGAAAUGCGUAGAUAUCUGGAGGAACACCGGUGGCGAAGGCGGCAUCCUGGACCGGUAUUGACGCUGAGGCGCGAAAGCUAGGGGAGCAAACGGG
rnacentral:rRNA from 1 species